rnacentral:rRNA from 1 species
AGCAGCCGCGGUAAUUCCAGCUCCAAUAGCGUAUAUUAAAGUUGUUGCAGUUAAAAAGCUCGUAGUUGAAUUUCGGGGUUAGUAAGUUGGUCAUGCCUUCGGUAUGUACUGGCUUUACUGAUUCCUCCUUCUUGACGAACCGUGAUGUCAUUAAUUUGGUGUUGCGGGAAAUCAGGACUGUUACUUUGAAAAAAUUAGAGUGUUUAAAGCAGGCUAACGCUUGAAUACAUUAGCAUGGAAUAAUGAAAUAGGACGUUAAUCCUAUUUUGUUGGUUUCUAGGAUCGACGUAAUGAUUAAUAGGGAUAGUUGGGGGCAUUAGUAUUCAAUUGUCAGAGGUGAAAUUCUUGGAUUUAUUGAAGACUAACUACUGCGAAAGCAUUUGCCAAGGAUGUUUACAUUAAUCAAGAACGAAAGUUAGGGAUCGAAGACGAUCAGAUACCGUCGUAGUCUUAACCAUAAACUAUGCCGACUAGGGAUCGGAUGAUGUUAUUUUUAAUGUACUCAUUCGGCNCCGUUACG